GGCGACCUCGGGCUAUGUUGGAGCUCUGAGGGCGGGCUGCGGGGCGACCUCUCCCAGCUAAGCCUUCACGAUCACCCUUCCCACUCGCAAUGUUUGGGCGCGUGCUGAAUAGGAGUACCACAGUCUAGAAGAGAGACUGAUUGCUGUGACAGAUCAAGGACACGUUCACCCAUCACAAGGGCUAAAAGAUAAGAUGUCUUGGAGGACACUCCUAAUUCUAUUAGAGCUGGAAUUUCUGGAGAUAGAAUCUGAAAAUCUGCUUUUUUGAGAAGUAACCCAAGUGAUAUUCACACUGAAGUUUAAGAAGCACUGGGCUAGGAACCCAAACUCUCUUUUCCAUCAAAACAUCUCCUCAUAGGACUAAGGUUAUGAGAAAUGGGGGCAGGCAGAGAGAUGAAACAAAACAUUGAAUCAAUUCAUAUUGACUGUGUUGUUUGUGUCAAGCAAUGUGUUUCCCAAGUAUAGAUUGGUUAGAUAGCUAGUUGAAAGUCAGGCUUUGAGAAUCAGGCUUCAGGACCUUCUAGAAAACCAUCAUGAUAAUAUUGACUUUGAACAGAAUGCCACUAAAUCUGGCACAGUAAUGCACACAUUCAAGGAAGCUGAGGCAGAAGAAAUGUGAAUUUGAGGCCAGCUUAGGCAAUACAGUAAGGCUCUAUUUAAAAAAAAAAAAAAAAAAAAAGAAUUCUAGCAAGAAGGAAGGGGUAUUUUUGGGUUUUCAUUUAUCCAUCUUUCUCAAUACAGGAGUGACCUAGAGAGUAUAUGACCUAUUGUAAGUGAUUCUACGUAGGUAGAGAAAUAAUAUAAAGACAGUGUAUUGGCUACUUUUUUGUUGCUGUGAUAAAAUACCACAAUCAAAAGCAACUCUAAGAAGAAAUAGUUUAUUUUAGCUUGUGGUUCCAGAGGGAUAGAGCCCAUUUUGGUGGAAAGGCAUAGCAACAGGCAGAAAGAGUGGAUCAUAUCUUCAUGUACACGUGAGAAGCAGAGAGGGAUCAAGCAGGACAUGAGUGCUGUAGACCUUCAAAUCCUGCCUCCACGAUGUGAUUCUUCCAGCAAAACUCUUCUCCUGAAGACUCCAUAACAUCCCCUGACAGCACUACCAACUGUGAGUCAAGUGUUCAAAAGCACAAAGCCUAUUGGAGACAUUCCUCAUUCAAACAAACACUGUUGGAUUCUACUGAACUGUUAGGUAACAUUGUAAAGAAAGGAUAAAACCAUUUAUGUUUAUUUAUUAAAAUUUAUGUAAAUGUACAUGCAUUUAUAUGUGUUUAUAUAUGCCAGUCAUAUGCAGAUGCCUUCAGAGGCCGAAGGGCGAUGGGUCUCCUGGAUUUGGAGUUAUAGGCAGUUGUGAGCCAUGCAAUAUGGAUUCUGGGAACCACUUGAGCCAUCUCUUCAGGGCCAGUAUAUAAUCAUGUGGAACUGGGAAAACCAAUGCUAGUCUACUGAUGCUGCUGAUGGAAUCAUAGCUAGGCUACAUUCAGGGCUUCUAAACAAUUUUGGGUCAGUUAUUCUAAACAAACCAAAACAAAAGAAAAAAAAACUUUUGAAAACCUUGUUCUUCCACUUGGCAGUCAAAUAAAAAUGACCUCUGUUUGGGACUGUACCAGAUUCUCUUUAAUUGAUUGCUUCCCUUUCCUGGGCCCUGCAGUCUCACAGCCAGAGAAGCCAGUGAUGAAAUAUUCAGCAUUGGGAUGAUAUUUGAUGUAUAAUUAAGUAGGAUGCAUCUAGCAGUUCAAUUUUAUAGAUCUUUAA